CACUGGACAGUCUGCUCCCAAUCUGCUCUAGCACAAGCCACUGAUCUUGUUUGCUCCCUUUGUCAUGUGGUGGGUAGAAUUCCCCAGGAUCACUGGUUUCAGUUGGAUUCUUUACCCUGGGGAAUGCUGUCAGCUGCAGAGGAGGAGGUUAGACAGACUUGCUGCAGCAUUCAGUCUCUGUGGGAGAGCCUGCCUGACUGCAUCUGUGGAUGACCUGGGCUCUAUCUGCAGGCUGCAGAUGGAAUCUAGAGUUUAUCCCUAGGAUGGCAGUAUUAGGACUGGGUAUCCCAGGUCCCAUUCUGGUUAUCUUCACCUGCAGACAUACUCCUUUUUCUUGUGGAACAUGCACAGCCUACUGUCUGCUAGCCAGAGAUAGGAUACAAGCUACUCAGUUACUAGUUAUGCAGAAAUGGGGCUUGCACUGCAGAAGUGGCUCAAUCCAGUGCCAGCAGCUCCAACCAAUGGGGUGGAAGGGCAGCUGAGCAUCUUGUAUUCCACUAGAUUGAAUCUGGGUAACAGCAGUUCUAGUCUAGUGUGUUGCCUAUGAAAUAGAACAUUGUUACUCUCAACCUUGCAGGUGCCUUUGCUGGAGAACCUCCCCAACCCUGUAUGUGGGGAAGAUGCUAGGUCAUAAUGUUCCCAGCAUUGGGACAAGCAGUAGGAUGGGUUUGUUCCCACCUUCAAAGGAGGGGAAGAUGGGAUUAAAUCAAGGGAAAAGUUGCUUUUUGUGGCUGCUUCUGUUCCAAUAGCUUGGGAUGAGGGAACAUCUCCUAGUGACUCUUAUGAUCAUUUUAAAGGCAAUUUUUUUUAAAAGCGAUUUUUGCCUCUGUGCCCACCUACAGCCCUGCUGUGAUCAGGCUUGUCCAUUGGCUGAGAGGAAUGUACAAGGAAGAGAUGGAGAAGUCCUGUUAGAUCAUCCAUUUGACCACCUGGUCUGUGUAGUGGUAUCAGGGUACAUCCUAAAGGGAGGGUAGAGACAGUGCAGUAGAACAGGGGCUUGGGUGGGGUGCAGCAGCAAAAAAUUGCAUUUCCUCUGGUAUAAUGCCUUGUUGGUCACCACUUCUUGUGCUCUUUGUGUGAACCCUGUGGCCCUAUCCAGGGAGAGGAAUGAACUGACUCUUACCUGAAUGAACUAACUUGAACCCUGAUAGCUGGGAUUUCCCUUUUGGGAGCACCCAACUCAUGAUGCCAGGGCUGGCUCUUCUGGUUAUGUUUACUUAAUGGCCACGGAGCACCCUGCUACUUGUUGUUAAGAUAGAUACAUUUGGUUUGUGGUCAACAUUGUCCCUUCCUCUCCAUGUGAGUUGACCUGCAGGGAGAAGCUGGGAUGUUUUGUUCUUUGUUUCUCCUUCUUAUUCUGGAGUGUUCCCUUUUUCCUACCUGACGCCCUCAAUGGCCUAGUCUGUCCUUUAGAACCCACCCCCAGGGUGAAGCCCUGUCCCAUACUAUGUAUAUACUCCCUGUUGUGUGGGAAUUGCUGAUGUUCUGUCAGUGUGUCUGUGUCUGCAGUAGAACAGGUUCUGCUCUCCCCUUCUUACAGGCAGACAUACCCUGCCACCGUGUUGUAUUGUUCUCUCGAGUCACUGGACUUACUUUUUUUGGGGGGGAAAGGGGUAGGGGGGGAGAAUAAGUAAUCGGGAGGGAAAACCUUGUGAAAUAAAAUAGUUCACUUUCCACUGCCUUCCCUAUGA
ensembl:lncRNA